AUUAUUGUUAUUAUUUUUAUUAUUGUUAUUAUUAACAUUGUAAUAAUCAUAAUGACAGUAAGGAUAAUAAAAAUAUUGAUAAUAAUAGCAUUAGAAAAAACAUUUUUGCCAAAAACUUAUUGAAAGGUAAAUCAGGCUAGGUGACAUAAGUCUGUUAAUUGACUACAUGGUGGCUGAGCCCUUGUGGAUCCCUCUAUAUGUAAAGACAGUUCACAAAGCAAAGCUGCAGUGGACUUUACAAGUUCCUAGCAGCAAUGGGUUAAAAGAUCAUGUAAAUCAACACAAGUUGGAUGAUAGAAGAACAGGAUGCUUGGGCAGUACAGAGAUUACAGGCUGGACUUUAAAGAGAUCUGUAGCACUAGUGCACAAAAUGUUUUUUACCUAAUGAUUUCUAGCAGUCAUUUCACCAACCCAGCCUCUGAACAAUAAUUGGUGUAUGGUAGCUGCUCACAUGUGAAAACUUGUUAAUAACAUGGUUUUGAGGAAAACUAUUAGCGCAGUGAUAAGUCAGCUCCACAGCAUAUGGGACAUCUGUUUUCACAGGACCAUAAAUAAGCAUUGCAAGAUUUGCAGAGCAUGUGCAAGAGGAUUAUGCAAAUAUUCUGAUGGCAUUUAUCAAUUUGUACAGCAGCAAAUUUUGCACUAUCCACUGUCUCAUGGCACAUUCUUGCAGAACACUGUAUGGACAGAUAGGUAUGUGUGUUUAUCAAUCUGUCUAUCUAUCUAUCGAUCCAUUUAUCAAUCUUGAAAGAUAUAAAACUUGUUAUAAAGCACAAAAUGUAAUAGGGAUCUUGAUUGGUAUGGCUUUACACAUACACACAGGCUUAUAUGAAAUUUUAUUCACAUUUCGUAUCCACAAUUAUAAGCCCAGAAUCCUUAAACAUACAUGCUGGAGACAUCACAAGAUUUUUGCUUUAUUUAGCCUAUUAUUCCAUCAGUGGAUAUUGAAAGGUUAAAAUUAUAUUAAUAUAUUAGAUUAUGAAAUACAUGCAGUAGUUUAAGGGUUUCAUUGUUAUUUAAUGUUCAAUUAUUUUGUAGAAAACUGGUUAUUAAGUAGUCUGGCUCAAUCAACUUCAGUGCACAAAGGGUUAGUUUUUAUGAAUGUCCAAAAGUUUUAUACAUACAAUUUUUUUGUUAGUCUCCAAACCCUUACACCAUUCCUAGGGAGAAUUAACCUGAAAAUCUGUCAAAGGUAUAUCUAUUAGAAGCCACAUGAAUUCCUUGUUAUGCCUCACUAUUUUGUGAUCUUUUCUUCUAAGAGACUCUUAUAGGCUUCUUGAAUUGUUUUGAAAUGUUUGUUUUGAAACUUAUUAGAAGUCAAAUUUUAUGUGACAUAGACUUGAUGCACAUAUUGUAUAACCUUAUCAGUUGUUUUCUUUGUGGAUCAGUGAACCUGUGUCUAUCCCAUUCAGUCAUAUAAAUGAAAUUAUUCUUUAGGUAAUCAGAGUUGAUAAUAAAAUAACUGUUAUCUUUACUACUAUUUCUGCAAUUUUAGUAACCACAUUUAAAAUCUGCAUAAAUUGCCUGGAGCAUAUGUAGUUCCCCUCCCACUUCUUGGACUACAUUUUUUAAAGCCAGGUCAUUGGCCUUGAAAAUUCUAAAAUGAAAAUAGAUAUUAUAUGAAUAUAGAUUUUAGGAUCCUGAAAUAUAAGGUCAAGAAAAGAUUGAUCAAGCUGGCUCCUUUCCAUUGUCAUGA
rnacentral:lncRNA from 1 species